GCGCCUUCUCGGCCUCAGAGUCCAAUGGCUCUGGACGCGCUUGAGGAGCCCUUCAACCCGCUGCUGCGCUGUGGGGGCCCCUCUCUGGGGCUGGCCGAGGCAGGAGCCGGCUCCCUCUGCUCACGGGGAGGUGUGGAGGGAGAGGAACGUCUGGGAGCCAGGGCCGCAAGCGGCACUCAGGGGCCUGCGCGGGUUCGGGUGGGCCGGGCUCAGAAGGCCCCGCGCUCAGCGCAGCCAGCCGGUGCCUGCUGGGCUUGAUCAGGAGAUGAGUUCCCUCUGGGCUGCCAGAGUGCCUGGGCUAGGUGCUGCAAAGUCCUAUAGCGACUGCCAUUGAGAAGUGAAGCCGGCUAGGCUUCUGGGUCAGGUGAGGACCUGAAGAACGUUUCUGUCUAGCUGAAGGUUUGUAAACGCACCAAUCAGUGCUUUGUCAAAACGGACCCAUCAGCUCUCUGUAAAACGGACCAAUCAGCUCUCUGUAAAAUGGACCAAUCAGCUCUCUAUAAAAUGGACCAAGCAGUAGGAUGUGGGUGGGGCCAGAUAAGGGAACGAAAGCAGGCCUCCCAAGCCAGGAGCGGCAAACUGCUGGGAUCCAUUUCCAUGCUGUGGACUCUUUGUGCUUUGCUCUUUGCAGUAAAUCUUGCUGCUGCUCACUUUUUGGGUCUGCACCACCUUUAUGAGCUGUAACACUCACCGCGAAGGUCUGCAGCUUUACACCUGAAGCCAGGGAGACCACGAACUCAUCAGGAGGAACGAACAACUCCAGACGCGCGGCCUUUAAGAGCUGUAACACUCAACGCGAAGGUCUGCAGCUUCACUCUUGAAGUCAGCGAAACCGCAAACCCACCAGAAGGAAGAAACUCCGGACACAUCUGAACACCUGAAGGAACAAACCCCGGACACACCAUCUCUAAGAACUGUAACACUCACCGCCAGGGUCCGCGGCUUCAUUCUUGAAUCAGUGAGACCAAGAACCCACCAAUUCCAGACACAGAAGGUUGGUAUUCAGAGAGCUUGUGUAACCUAUCCAAGGUCAUACAGCUAAACAGGUGGCAGUGCUAGCAUUUGAACCCAAAUAGUGUGCCUCCAACAGCUCUAGUAUAUAAAGCAUGUCUUGUAAGUAAAUAUCCUAUUUUUUGCUUUGACUUUCAUGAUUGUUUUAUCAAUGUUUAUUUAGAGAUUUGAUGAUCCUCAGGUGUCAGUUAUUCCUCUGCCACUUGAACUCCCUUCCCCCUUGGUUCUCGCUACCUGCAUUUCCAGUCUGCCUGUCAAAUAGUUAAUGAUCUGCAUACAAACACUUUCAUGAACUAGUGGAACUCAGCCUUUAAAAGAAUCCUAGGGGAAUUCUUUAAAGACUCUUUUACAGUAUGAAUAAUCAUCCCUUAGUUUAUUCAUCUGUAAAUUUUUGGUUUCACAUAGUACAUUUUCUUCAGGCAGGGCCAACCACAUUGCUUUUUAAACUCUUAGAUAGAUCAGCUUUGCUUUGUCAUUUUGUGAUCCAAGAAAGCCAAUUAUUUUAAUGUCCACAUCAACUAUUCUCCUUUUAGAAUUUAUGAAAGUGAAAAAUAUGUAGCCCAAAAACUCUUUGUUAGAGAAUAUUUCUCAUGAAAUGGGAAUUUUAGCCCUUCUUCUUACUUAGAGUACUUAUUUGUUCAGUCGCAAGACAAUGAAAAUAAAAUUUAAGUCUCCAAAAUAUUAUUUCUAUCCAUUUAAUUUUAUCAGGCCAGACCAACUUUUCUCAGCAGAUCAAAUUAAAUUUUUAUAUCGACUUUUCACUUUUAUGUUGAGAAAAUUUGUUAUUCUAUAUCCAUAGACUUUUGAGCAAAUAUCACCUAACUCUGAUUGCUGUAAUCUCCUCUGGCUGGUCUACCAGCUCUAAGAGACCUGCUUUCUAGCAGGUUCAGUUUUUUGAGAUCAGGACAAAAGCCAGACUAAAGCACACUUUUAAGUACUUUGAGCAAAAAUUAAAGACGCCCCAUAAGGACAGACAUUCCAUAGUUUCCACCAAGUCAAUCAAUGAUACAAAUGUAACUUCAUAUUGAAAGCAUGUAAUGGUUUUUGUCUCAGUUACUGAACCCCAACAUUUUGGUUUGGAGUACUCUCUUCAGAAGUGUUCAAGGUUCAAAUUGAGGUCUUCUGUUGUCAUGGAAUAACUUUCUCAACAAUGAUGUACAACCAGUGAGGUCAAUAGUUGACAGAUGGACGUUGAAGCCAUGCAAUUACACCUCCCAAACCAUUAUAAAGAAUGUAACAGAAGAAAGGUGGAACCCAGUCUAAAACACACCAAACAAUAAAAGGCACUAAAAUAAUUGCUUCACAUUUAAUGAAUCUUUCUUUAAUAUGACAACCAAUCCAAGAAUCUUUGAAUUCCCUUUCCCUGGUAAAAGUCAAAACAUUUUUGAGGCGGUGGCAGUUUAUCUAAAUUACUGUUUUUUCUCCAUCAGUCUUUAGGCUUAAUCUCAUUUGCUUUUAUGGAUAUGGUAACCCUUUUGAAUAGCUUUUAACCUUUUAAAAGUCGCCUUGACCCGAAGAGCCUAAAAAUUUUUAAUAUAAUAUUGAAUGAUAAAAAUUGAACAAUUGAGUGCUUUUCUGACUCUCAGUCUGCAUGCAGUGCUCUGGGUCGUACAGCAGAAUUUCUGGCUGAAUGAAAAAAAAUUAAAAUACCUGUAUAUAGCUUGCUUGUAGCAGAAACCUUCAGCUCUGACCUCCGUUUCAUUGGCUCCAUUGUUCCUUGUGCCCCCACAGUAUCUUGGCUUUCUCUUUUCCAGAGAAAGAGUGUGUUUUAUCCUGCAGCACGUCAGCUUCAAAGGGCUCUUACUUCAAGUGUCCAGCGCAUCAUUCUGGUAAAUUAAGAAAUCCUCGGCUUAAGAUCGUCUCUUUCAAUCACAUAUAAUUGUUUGUGGAAUUUAAUUACAAAAACUGAAAGGAGAGAAAACAAGAUGGCAUUGUUGCUAACCUGUGAGAAGUGAUGGGGGCCUGCCAGCUGAAUGCUAGCCCCUGGUGGGCUCAUGGUAACAACAGAGAGGGGAGCCUUCUCUGGGAAGAGCUACCUCCUACUCCAGCCCAGCCGACCAGGCUGGGAUCCACAGAUCCACACUCCAGCAUGCUGAGCGGAGAAAGACUUAUUGUUGAGAAUGUCAGUCAACUGACAUUUUGCCUCCUACUCUCUCUAUCUGAGAGGGGAAUCUGCAUUUUCUAAGCCAGUUGGCAGCAUGCACCACAAACAGCAAUGCACUGCAGGCCCCUGGUAUAGACUGUCACCCUGUGAUAAGUGUGCCAGCUCAGUGGUGCAAAGGUUUUCAGAUACCCUCCCUUGGGCUAUCAUUCCAGUAGGCAGCUCCUCCUCCUCCUCCCCUCUCCCUCACAUACACUGAGCAUCAGGCUCUCCAAGCUCAGUUCUCAACAUAGUUACAAUAACCCAUCCUAGUCAGUGAUGCUUAAAAUUGAACCAUGGUUCAGGGGAGCAGUAGGCUCUCCCUGCAAGCACCCUAAUGUGUUAAACAGCCAUGCCAGGUAGCUGUCUCCUUUCUUGGAAUCAGCUACUUACAGAGACCCUCUGUCAAUGGAAGUUUUUAUGCAAGUCCUCUAACCCAGCAUUUGAAGGAUAAACAAACUUGCACUUACACAAUUUUCUUUAAGAGCAGUUCCCUCUAAAUGUUGGUUCUCACUGCCUGCUUCAACUGCGGGCCUAGAAAUGGAAAAGGAGUCCAGGUUUGGAGCCCCUCUGGUGACUGAGUGUGUACCUCCAACAUGACUACGUUUGUACAGCUGAGACUCAACAUGUAAGGCUCUUUAGGUGGUUGGAAUUAUUUCAUUUGGCACCAUGAUUGCCUCAAAUAAUACAUACUUUGAGAGAGAGAAACGCUGCAGAAGUAAACUCGAACCAAUAGGGACAUUUAUUCUUCAGGUUUAAAAUUAAUUUCCUGUACUUCUCUGGCUUAAGAAAAAAAUUGUAUUGGAACUGCAACCUUAUGAGAAGAAAAAUUCGAAACUAUUUCUUUUACACUGAGCCCAGUAUCAGAUGAAAUGGAAAUGUGAGGGCUUCCUUAGCGUUAACCCGCUGGAACUUUCCAGCUGAGAACUGAGAUCUGCAGACUGCUUUAGGUUAAGACCCUGCUCCACUCCAUGUUAGGUAAUCAGAUGUCAUUUAGGCAGAAUAAAUGGGAAGUACUCAAGGAAUCAGAAGAGGUGAAAGAGCAGAGUCUGGUUUGGAUAAAAGUUUAAUUCUUCAGUUCCAAGAGGCAUAGCCCUUCGAAGAUGCUGAGCAAAGUCAGACAGGAGUGGCCGAGUAAUGAAGAUGGAUGCAUCUUGUUAUCAGCAAGCCGUUUACUAGGGCUUGAUGUAACCUUAAACAUUGCAGAUAGCUCAAUGGCACUUGCCACUAAACCCCUAAUUAAUGAAGAGCAGGCCCUAAAUUAACAAUGUGCAUUUACAGAUGAAUUCUAGGCACUCAUUAAAUGAUGUUCAAAUACCAAGCAGCAACUGUUGGCUUAUUCCUGCUGGAUUACUCUAUCCACUGUGUGUGAGGGAGGACUUUCCACUAGGGCUUUCCUGUCUUGCAGGGCGGGGGACUAGCUGUGGAGCAGAAAGGGACACCGUUCUCAGGGGAUAGGUUAUGGCGUAAAGAGAUGUGAACUCAGUUUUGACAUGUGACACCUGUGCCACCAUUUAAAGGCGAUCAGAAACAAUCCCAGAUUUAGCUGAUGCUGCCAAUAAAGAUAAAAACCAAAAAGUUUGAAUCCCAACCAACUCUGUCAAGGAUGGAAUAAGACGUUUCAAAGUGCAGCCCCACGCUGCGCUUUCGUGGGUGGGCUGGAAUGCACCCUGGGGAUGGAAGGUUUAGACAACGUGUAGAUUUGUUUGGCAAAAGCUUAAUUCAUAAACAAUUACGGGCUGUGGUGAGGUAGCUGGAUCUGGCUGCAGCAGGCUGCCGUCAUUCUGACUGCCCCCUCCACUGAGGCCUGAAGGCCAAAGCCAACCAAAAAUGUGUUCUGCAGCAAACAGUAGUCAAGCUAAUUAUCUAGCACGCUCUGUUGGGGGUUUUCCUCUUGAUUUCGAGGAAUAAAAUGAGGAGCUGCGGGCUUGUAAUAUAACAAGGAUGUAGCCCCUGUGUGGGAAGGUGUAUAUAUGGCUAUUAAAUAAUAUUAGUACCUUCAACUCUCAAAGAAGUAAAAUAAAGACAGAAGCCAAGUAUGAGUAAGACAUUGGAAAGUAAAUUAAGUGGAAAAGAAAAUGUUUUAAACUUCUGCAGGAGGCUGUCGUAAAAGAAGUUCUUGCAAAGCUAUGGUGAGGAAUAGAAAUGGAUUUCAAGGAAGAGAAUGUUCAGAAACAUCUCCCUUUGGGUCAUUUCUGUGCUGGCUGAAAUCCCGGGGCAGGCCCCUUCUGUUGUGAGGGGAAAGUAUCUGAGGUUUUUGAGCGGUCACCCUCUAAAAGCACCCAUGCUAAAGAAAGCACAGCCGCCUCCCCACCAAGGGCACAGGGCAGAGGCUGUGUAACAGCCCAGGAAAAUUCCCCACACACAGUGCCAAGAUCCAUGUAUGGUCAAAAGCAAAGGCAUUCUCUUGUUUGUAUGGAUCAUUUCCACAUCAGGUUUUCCAAAUGGGUUUGUGUACAUUCAGGGACAGGGUACUCCCAUGGCCCCAUGGAGGCAGUAUAAAGGCAAACUGGUCUGCUAAAGAAGAAAAAAUAACUCUUAAUUUAAAAUGCCAAAGGGACUUGUGUUGGGGAGGGGCUAGGGAAGGCAGGGUGCUGUAUUGUUGAUGUCUGCCACCUAAAUAUUCCUGAGGAAUUAACUGGUAGGAAUUGAACAGAGUGCGGGAAAAACAGGUGUUUCCCUUUUCCCAAGGGCAUUUCUCAUUUAUUAUAUAUCUAGUCAAAAUUUUCUUUUUGAGCAAAUUUUAUCACAUACAGAUAGAGGCUAUGAGAAAAAAGCACCCUAAGCAAUCAUUUUAAGAGCUGCCCUCAUUCCACAUUGUGUGACUGAAUACAAAUCCUUUAUUCUUCCCAGUUUGAUGAUGAGAUGGGGAUUUAACCUCUGCUUGCCAUCAUUAUCAGUUCACUGAGUUUCUGAGUAUAAGCCACAAAGCUCUUGGAAAUGUAAGUUCCUGGAUGUUUGCCCUCACCCCACUCCCCCCCACAUCCAAAGCAAUCCAAAUACAGAGCUUACUGGGAGGGGGAGAUCAAUAGGAAGCAGCUUCUUAUUACAGCAUUCCCCUAGAUUGCUCAGAACUCCGUCCAUGGGGUCUCUAGUCCCAGUGGUCAUACAAUUAGGGAAAAAGUGGACUUCAGACAAUGAAAGAGAAUGAGCAAAGAAUAGACGCAAAUCACAGCAUCUUUUUCUGCCUCCACUAUAAGCUGCAUAACCCAGCUCAUCAUAGCAUAUGUAUAGGCCACAUUUCCUCAGGUUUCAAAAGCCUGACGGUUCAAUCAGAAAUGUAUGUCACAAUAAAGCAACAAAAGAGGUGCCCCUUACGUAACCCUCACUGGAAAAAUCUCGAGACUCCCUAGCCCAUAUCUCUCUGAUUCAAGGGGUCCCUGGUGUGUCUCACAUGUGUCCCAAAUCACUGCAAGUGUCCUCUGCUCCCACCUCAUAGCAUUUUCUCAACUUUCUCUGACCUUGGCCUAGAGAAGCUUUCCUGGACCUACAUAAAAGGAAUCCAUUGUUCCUCAGUCUAACGUAUUAGCUAGGAAGUUAAAGCCUAGCCAUUUGUUCUUGGGAGGGUCUUCUCCUCGGGAAGCAAGUCAUCAGCCCCAACCUGACAGCUGUGAAUUCUCCCUGCUAUCCAAAAGAGUUUUACCAGAUCAUUAUACCAGCCCAGAUAGACAGGUCCAUGUAUGCCCAGAUUGUCUGACUAUACAGUAGAGAUCCUACUCUGAGAUCCUCAAAUACACAUGAUUCAGGGAAAUAAUUUUACCAAAAGUGUCACUACCACAUAGAGGAUCAUGUAUUGAGCAGAUGUUAGUCUUAUCCUGUAGUACCAGUGCUUUCAUCAGACCAUCUUUUGUAUUAGGGUGAUCCUAUCUGCUCUAACAAAAUGCCUUAAUGGAUAAAAUACAACAAAAAUUUACUUCUCACUCAAAAACACCAAAGUAGAUGUUCUUCCAAGUAUCAUCCAGGCUCCCAGACUCCUUCCAUCUUGUACCUUCACUAUGUUCAAACACAUGGCUCCCAAAAUCAAUGUGCUCUUUUGCAUCAAACUGAGAAAUGAAGAAAGAGAAGCACACUUAUUUCUUAACCUCUUUGACUCAGCAUCAACACAGUGCUUACAAUACAUUGGUGAAAACCAAUUAGAUGAUCCCUUAGAUAUAAGAGAGAUGAAGCUGAAGAUACAGUCUCUGCUGAAAAAUAACUUCCUUUCAACAACUCUAUACUCUAGAAGAGGAAGCACAAAUGUUGAGGAGAGCCAGGCUUCUACGUCAGUACACUAGGCUGAUACAUAUCUUAACAAAAGUACUAUAAUGACAACUAUAUACUGUCUACAAGUGACAUAUUUAGAUUCAAAGAUGAAGAUAGAUUGAAAGUAAAACCAUAGAAAAAAUACAAUAUGCAAAUAGUAAACGGGAGAGAGUUGGAGUGGCUUAUACCAAUAUCAGUCAAAAUUGACUUUAAGUUAGAAGUGGUUACUAUAGACAAAGGACAUUUUAGAAUAAUGAAAGUGUCAAUCUAUCAAGAGGAUAUAAUACAAACAUAUAUGUACCUAACAACCAAAAGAUGAAAUCCAUAAAUCAAAAGGUACUUCAUUCCUUUUUAUGGCUAAAUAAUAUUCCUAGAAUAGGUAUAACAUAUUUUGUUUAUUAUAUAAUAAAUGAAACUUGAAAACAUUAGGCCAAAUUAAAGAAGCAGACCAAAAAAAAACCCCACAUAUUCUAUGAUUCCAUUUAUAUUAACUAUCCAGAAUAGGCAAAUCAUAGAGAUAGAAAGUAGAUACGUGGUUGCAAGGGUUAGGAAGAAGGAGAAAUGGAGAAUGAUUGCUAAGGGGUUGAGAGCUUCCUUUGGGGGAAUUAAAAUAUUCUGGAGCUAGAUAGUGAUGAUAGAUACACAGCCUUGUGAAUAUACUAAAAAUUAGUUGACUGUACAUUUUAAAGGAAUGAAUUUAGUGAUAUGUAAAUUGUGUUUUUUAAUAAAAUAUUGCUUAUCCAUAUUUCAUACACACACACACACACACACACACACACGUGGGUUAGAAGUGAGUGAAGAUUUGGAUGCAAGUAUGUCUAACCUUCAGACUUUUUUUACCAUGUGGUUCUUUUUUGCCUAGAAUUUUGACGUUUUUUUAAAAAGCACUGAAAUAGUUCCAAGAUGUUUGCAAUUUAUUAGCCAUUGUCCUAGAAGAUCUUUAUUUUGAUUUUGGUAAUGUAUUUGGAUUUUUUUUUAACUGCUGUGUAACAAAUUACUACAAACUUUGAGACCAGAAAAAACACAACUUUAUUAUCUCACAGUUCCCAUGGGUCAGGAGUCCAGGCACUGGCUAUUCGGGUUCUCUGCUCAGUGUCUCACAGGCUGAAAUCAAGACGUCAUCUGUUCUCAUCUGGGUCUCAGAGUCUUUUUCCAAGUUCACUGAUUCUGUAAAAUUCUAUUUCUUGAGGUUGUAGGACUGAAGACUUCAGCUCCCAGAGGCCACCUGCCCUUCCUAACUGUGUGACUCUAUCCACAACAUAGUAGUUUGUUUAUUCACAGCUAACAGGCCAACAUCUCUGUUGCUUCUUCUGACUCUGACUUGUAGAUCCUCUUUUAAAUGGCCCAUUUAGCUAGGUCAGACCCACUCACAAUAAUUUUCCUUUUGAUUAAAUUGAAGUCAACUGAUUGGAGGCUUUAGUUGAGUCUGCAAAAUUCACUGAUCUUUUGUUAUUCAUGUAAACCAAUCAAGAGAUUAUAUCACCAUCAUAUUCACAGAUCUAAAGGGGAGAGGAAUAUACAGGACAUGGGUCAUUGAGGGUCAUUACAAAAUUCUGCCUACUAGAGGUAGGUUGUUCUAUGUAUGCCAACCAAAUACGGGCCUUGGUAAGCUAAGAGCCUGAUCACUGUUGGGACACCAUUUGGGGAGACCUGGUCAAGCCAUACAUUAAAGCUAAACUCUGCUUAAGCACCAAACCUGAUAGUAGUUUCCAAACCUGGUUACCCAUUGCAACCUCCUACACACACCCACCCACACACACACACACACAAAAGCACAUGCACAUGUACAUGGACGCACAUACGCACACAUCCAUGUUUUUGAGAAGUUCCAGAUGUGCAGCAAGGUUGAAAACUGUUACCCUAAGACUUGGAGAACUACAAUUAGUUGAGAAGAACAAAAAUAAUACUGUGAGUAAACUUCAUGCUGGCUUCCAAAUAAUUGAAUUUACACAUGUAUAUAACUAGUUACCAAGUUUAAUUUAACCAUCAAUUCCUCUUCACUUUUUAUUCAUGGGGGAAAAACUGUAGCAUAGAAAAAGAAACCUGUGGCUUAAAUGUCAAGACACUUGAAUUCAAAUCUCCACUUUACUUGUAACUCAUUUGUAAUCUCUGCAGACUCUUUUAAGAUCUCGGUUUUAGUUUUCUUGUCUAUAAAGUGGGGCUAGCAGUACCUCACCCUAUCCCCGACUCUCAGGAUGAUGGUAAGGAUAAAAAGGACUGACAAACUUCUAAACGCAUAUUGCUGGGGAAAACCUGUCUUUGUUCAGCAGUCUUCCUGAUUUUGGACUGCAGUGAUUUCUUGCAUCUGUCCUGAGAGCAUCCGAGGAGAACUAGUCCUCCUGCCCCCGCAUUUUGGGAAAGGAGAAAGAACUUCCCAAAAGAGGACUGCAAAGAAACCUGCCCUCUUUCUUUCUGGCUGCCUUCCAUUUUCACUGUUCAGCCUUCCUUUGGUAGGAUCUGCUUGACAGGAAAAAGCCAUACAUCUGUGCACAUUAAAGGUUGUCCGUAGGUGGAGGGGAAAAAAAUGUUCACUAGAAAUGUUUAAUAUCUUAUAACACUCCUCCCCACAUUGCAUUACACAUAAAUUGGGCAUGCAUGGCCAAUUACAGCACAAAAUGCCUCUCCAGCACCCACCACACCAUACUUCCCUUUGCACCCACUUGGUUAGCCAUGAUUAGUAACCUCUCAGAGCCAGCUCACUGCCACUGGCUUACCUAGUCUCUUACACUCAAUAGUUUAGUCUCCCAAUGGCGAGGAGAGGUUAGGAAAGUCAGGGCAUGUGGUCUGACAUGAAAUGGAAAGGGAAAUACAGAAUUCUGCAUUUUUUUUAAAAGUACCAUUCACAUUUGAGCAUUUAUAUUCUCAAAUUUGCAAACAAUAAUGCCUGUUUUAUCUAAGAUAAGUAAUUGUUCAGGGAAUGCAGUCAGAUAAUAGAUGUCAAAUGCAGUUUGUGAUCUGUUAGGCAUUAUAUAAUUAUAUGGUUUAAGGGCAAGAGCUCAAAGUAGGGGGUCAAACAAAAUUAGGAGGGAGUAAUUCUCAUUCUUUCAAAUCUUUUCCCAUGUGCUAUAUUGUCCUUUUAUCACUAAUUGUGCAUGCAUAAAUCACUUUAUUGGAUGAUGAGCUUUUUCAGAGAAGGGAUUGUCUUGUUGGUUCAGAAUUUUGGCUUUUAACAGAGUAGUAGCCAUGAUCCGAAGAAUGAGCAUAGAUGCUUAUUUGUCUGUGAUGGGUAGCCCAGAGCCAUGACAUAUCAUAGGAAUGGAAGCCCCAGUGGGGCAGGGAACUUUGCCUGUUUGGUUUACUGCUAUACGCCCAGCACAAUGGAACAUUACCUGACGUAUAGUAAGCACUCAAUAAACAUUUGUUGAGUAAAUGGAUGAGCAAAUGCUUUUGGCUUGAGUUCAAAAAAAGUAAAAUUUGAUUUGGCAGAGUGAAAUAGUAGCUGUUUUAAUCUCUAGAAGGAGAGCAAGCAGAGCUCACUCCACACAAAAUUCAGUCUUGAGAUGCUCUUUCGGCACACCCUUCUCUUAUCCUCCCAGGACAGCUCUCCCUUGCUCCCUGUUCCUCUUUGCAUUGCUCUUGUUCCCUUACUCCAGUACAUUUCAUAUGUUCUAUGACUGCUUAAAACCCUUGCCUUGGAAUCUGGCCUGGGCCUCCUUAUUCAUGCUCCCAAAUUGCCUUUACUCUCCAGCUCCUUCCAUUUACAACCUCUUUAUCAACACUUCCUGCCCAAUAGGUCAUGUCAAAGUUGACAAACAACACCCAUACACUGUAUUGACAGUAUAGGAGUUUUUUGCAUUUUUAUGUUGUUUUUUGAAUAUCUCCUCUGCCAGGACCCCUACGCCCCUCCCCCAAACUACCACACCAUAGCAGGGCAGAGAUACCGUACUUGAAGAAAGGCCUUCAUUUAUCAUAAAAAUGAUACCGGGUAUCAUGCAGACGAGCAGUGAGGCUCUCCAAGGGUGAAAGAGACAGGACAAAUUGUGUCCAAGUAUCGAAGGAGAGAGGGUCACAACUCUUCCACUGCAGCAGCAUAGCCCACUGGGCAGCAACAAAACGGCCCCAACUCAAAUGCCAGCAAAGCAAAGGUGGGUCAUGUCAGACGGUAUAUCCAGGGAAAAUUCAUAUCUCUGCUUUAUAAUGGAUGUUCUCUUGUACUCAAAAGGCUUCAGUGAAUUAUGAAAGACAUUUAUCAGGCAUUAGAAAAAUUCCAGUGUUGGAAAAAAUUGACCAUCAUUCAUCAAAGGCUUGGAGUUACAAUGUAUUUUUCAUUAUGUGAUAUGGAAACACAUGUGCAAUGAGUGGAUGGGUUUCUGGUUCAACACCAAAACACCCACACUAUCUUACUAGUAAUUGGAUUCAGCCAAAUAUGGGAUAGUGCAUUCUGGGUCAUACAGCAUCUUAAACUAGAAGCAAAAAUCAUUCCAAGGAGUACUUAAACCCAACAAUGACAAUUGAGACAGCCAUAUUAUAUAACUUAACUUUUGGUAUCACAUUGUGAUGAAGACAGUAGGCUUGAACAUGACCAAGUCAAAUGCACCUAAUGUCCAACCUUAAGCAUGAUAGACUCCAUCUUAUACCUGUUCUCUCAAUCUAAAUGCACUGAGGCUUUCCACUCUUAAUCACUCUGCUUCUCCUUGGGCCUCAUCGGUCUUUAAUUGUAUCUAAUUGAUCUCAAUUUGUACCUUUAAGUUGGUAAAUCGCAAUCUAAUUUAGAAAUGCAAUGGUGCUCUACAUAUCACUGUCUCCUUUGAUCCUUCCAACAGUCUCAUGUGGGUAUCAAGAGAAAUGCUUUUAUUCUCAUCUUACAUAUGAAAAAGAAAACCAAGUCAAAGAACAGUUACUCCGAGGUUUAACCACUACUAAAUAUCUGAAUUGAUGGGGAGCCCAGGUUUCAUGACUCCCUGGUCCAAUGCUCCUCAAAUAUGGAAAAGAACUUCUUGGCGCUUAAGGCUGUGAGACCCUCACAAUGUGCCCCUCUGGGACAUCUUGUAAUUUCCUCUUCAGGAGCUCCUUAAGAAUAGCAUAAAGGCACAUCCAGCUGGAACCAUUUACACAAACUGUACAGCCUGGAGGCAGGGGAUGGACUUAAUGACCCUGGGCUAAUCAAUUCCUGCUUCCUAACACAAGGAGUGAUUGCAAAGUAAUGAUCCACCAGCCCCAGACAAACAUCACAGUUAUACAUUAAAUGAAGUUUCUGAUUCCUUAUUCCAUGAUAAAUGUAUGGUUAAUCCUGAUUCCUGAUCCAUCAUAAAUUGUUCUUCUCUUCGGGGUCACUAAGUGACAUUUGACUGUGAGUCGUGGAGGAAGUUGAGCUGGAGAGCUUCAGCUGGAGUGGGCGCAAUAUUGUAGGUAUUGUAAGUGUUCACAUUAAUCUGUUGCCAUCUGUCUUUAUUUUGCUAACCCACUCAAUCGGACACCAUAAAUGUUAACAGACAUAAAAAUGCUUUUCUUCAACAUUAGGCACAGAUAUCUCCUUGCUUCAUCUCCUGAAUCUCAGACAGCCCUUGAUUGUGGCAUUGUAGGCAAUGCCACAAUGAUACCCUAACUCCUUGAAGUGGCUCUGAACAAUGAUGCCAUAUAAGGCACUGUUCCAAAUCCACAACCAGUAUUUGGAUUCCAUUUUAAGGCUCCAGUGCUCCCAUACUUGGCAGCGGAUUUCUCCACUUCUUACACAGAAAGAUCCAGAAUGCAGCCUUUAGCUCAUCCCCUAAGAAUGUGGACUCAAGCUGGAGUAGUGAAGCCUAAGCCAACCACUUUCAUUCUUCCAAGCAAAUUGUGAUGGAGCCACUACACCCCUACCCCUGUCCCACACCAUCCUGCAGAUCAAAACCCAGAAGAGCCCCUGUAUUCUUACUACUAUCUAUUUUAUGGAAAAGCUAUUCAUUUGAUGUGUAGAAAGGUUCCAAACAAAAGCCUUUCCUUAUAUUUUCUAAGAAAUAUGCCAUCUCUCUGGGCCACUGAGGUUUUCUUUAAAGAUGCAAUGGAGUGCUACAUAUCAAUUUGCUUUAUCUUCAAAGAUAAAGAAAACUUCAAUGGCUCAGAGAUUACACUGGCAAUUUGGCACCCUGGGCUUACUUUGGCAAUUUUUGAAAAGACUGAAAAAUCUUAGAGUUUUUAAUAAUCUUAGAUAAUUUUGAAUAAUCCCAGAAUUUUGCUGAGACCCUUUAUCUUCAUUGUAGUGGAUGCUGUGGUGUGCUGCCCAUAUCCACCCUACUGAGACUAAGACUCAUUCCCUCGGCCACCAAAAGGGUUGACCAUACAUAGUGCUCAGCUGAGUCGCUCUCUAGGAGUUGCCUUAGAUAGCCACCUUACCUAGGAUGAUACCCCAUCCCCUAGGGCCACCCACAUCUCAUGAUGAGUCAAUGUGAUCCCCUAGCCCCAAUACAGGGCAACUCUGCAGAGCUAUCCCAGCUCCAGAGGUCCCCAAAGGAGCAGGGCCACAAGAUGCCUAGGCUUUUUGUAACUGCAUCACUAUUUGACUUCUCGCUCUCCUGAGUCCUGUUCCCUUCCUUCCCUGCAAAGCGAGGGCACUCACUACCCAGUGCUCUCCCAGAAACUUCUUCCUGAGGAACCUGACUGACAACAUGGGUAUAUUUUAAAGAUAAUGGAUUUCUAAACCAGAAUCAAAUACACAGCAGUGUGAGGACUUGUUUUCAUUCUUCUUUUCAAUAUGACUGAUAAUUUUAAGCUUUGGGCUAGAGGGAGCCUGCAUUCUAGAAAAUGGUUUUCAGAGGUGACAAGGGAAUUUUGUUGAGCCAGGUAAAGAAUAUAUAAACUUUGCUCUUUCAAACACACUUAAUUUUACAGUAUUAAACACGGUAUCAUCCUGAGCCCCCUGCCAAUUCUGCAUCAGUUGACGUGUGAGGCCCUGUAUCAGAAAAGGUAAAGAAACUGCUAAUACUCCCCAACCACUCUAAUUUUUCUACCCUUUCAUACUCACUCUUUGAGUUUCUCAUCUCCUCUGAAGGUCAGCCCUGGGGGUUUCACUCUCCCACUCUCCUCUUGAUAUCUUUGAAGACAAAAUCCUGACUGGUGGUGUCAAGUCUUAUCAUCUUUUGUGUAGUAAUGAAGCCAGGAGGGAGAGUAAGCACAUGUUUGACAAAUCCAAGAUGCAGCUCCUUCCUCCCUUCUGUCCUGGCUGGCACAGUUAUAUCUAAGCAUCCAGCCCUCCCGCAAACAGGUGUGAGCUCAGAAUGCCCAUGUUCUCCUCCCUGUGUUCUUCCAUCCUGUACAAUUCUUCAUGCCUCUAAACCUGUGAUUCUUGUUCUGGUUUUGCAAUACCUGGGGUUGUCUCCAUUUAUCUCCAGGGAUGUUAUAAAAACCAAAAAUGAUUGAAAUAGAGAGGAUUUUUAAUUUAUUAACUGAGAAAUGGAUAUUUCCGAUAACACUCUUAAAAGGGAGGGAAAGUGAUAUGAACUCAAGAUAACAGCCCUAAGUUUCACAACUCCAAAGCUAUUAUGAGUCAUUUUAUCAGUCUGACCCACAAUUACUGUCUGUGUCUCUCUGAUUCCAUUUAUGCAUCCAGUGAAAAGACAGGAAGACUGCAGGACGAUUCCGGAGUGGUAUACUUUUGAAAUCAUUAACUAUAUCAACACUCUUUCCUCAAUAAAGUGUGAAAUACCCAAAUAAAAUUGUCACCCUUUAGCCAAAACACUUACAUGUCUCUUUGGUGGCCAUGGUAUGUUACUUCAUUUUUUGCAAAUGGUUGCUUAGUUAUAAGCCUGUAAUUUUAAUAUCCAUCCAUAAUGACCAGGUAAAACACAUAAUCUGACAAAAAUGUUGAACCAGAGGGUAGGAGUGUAACUAUAAGAGAAAGAGGACUGGGGUGUAGGAAACGUAAUCAUAUAAUGGCUUGACGUUCUCUAUUUUCCAAAGGCUUUAUUGAAGCAUUUCUCUCAGUAAUGCUGCUUUUGCAAUUACAUAGCAACAAAGCAUUUGAAAUAACUUUUUUGACAUACUAAGUAUAAAAACUUAAACUGAGGUGGGGGGUUUAUAGAAAGCAACUUUCUUCACAUGCGUUCUGCUCAAAUGCUAAAUGCUGCUGCAAAUAACAGGAAAGAUACAUUCUCAAAGUUAGGACAGGCUAUGUCUUGGCUGGGAAAGGGUUAAAUAAAGGGAACCCGAUUCCAGCCAGUCAGGGACUGAACAUCCAAUGAGAAUUUAUUUAGAUGAUGUAAUGCUUGAAUCCUGAUAUCCUUUUGAAAAGAGCUUGUGGUUGAAGUUUCUAUAAACCAGACUGAACUGGAAUUUCCUCCCAAUCCAAGAGUCUUCUCUGCCUUCUGCACCAUUUUCUUAGUAGUGUCGUACAUUUUCUUUCCUAAUGUUUGACAAAAAGCACAUUUGUAACUAUGGUUUGCAUUUGGAUCCUUUAAACGAUGCUAGUCUGUGGCUUUUCAUAGGCCUCUUUAAUCCUUACUUGGUAAUGACACAGGACUAACUGCUUAAUAGAAAAUUCUGAAAGACACCAUCUCAUCUCUGCCACCUUACUGACUAAAUGCUGGCUCUUUCCAUUUAUGGCCUUUCCACUGAUCUCCAGAGUUGGGAGGCUCAUGACAAAUGAAGACAGAGACCAACACUUUCAGCUACAUAGCAAGAUGGAAAGUUCCUGAGGGCUGUGUGGCAGCUAUGGUUGCAUUAUCCUCUUUUCCACUAGGAUGCUGUUGACAACCAAAUAAGUAGAACAGUUCCAGAUGACAGCAAGUCUGGUGAACUCAGGACACCUACUCAAGAAAGCUCUGAAACUCUGUUCACUCUCUAAGAACCUUCACAACUAUCGUUCACUGACCUAGGGACAGACAGUUGUACACAUGAAAAGACAAGGGCAAUGUGCUCGGGGCUUUGUUUUAAGCUGCCUUUAAGACUUAAAUCCUGGAGCUAUCAAAAGAGUUAAGUUCAUGAAAUGGCAGGAAAGUUAAAGAUUCUUAGAGCAUAGCAUAAAUUGGCACAUCUUCCAACUUAGUUGAGAAACAAUGACCUUAUAAGAACUAUUUUUAGACUUAAAGAAACCUUUUUCUUAAAGAAUUAAUUCAUCAUUUACUACCCCGUGAAAUCAAACCUCAAAAUCUUGUGGUUAACCAAUAAUCUCUUCCAACUUGUUCCAUUUGGAAUAAACUAAAAAAUAGCCACUAGUUUUCAAAAGUAAAUGUAUGCCAAACAUCAUAGCAAUAAAUGGGCUAAUAUAUGUUUAGAAACAAAAACCUAUAAAAAUUGAAGACACUGCUAUUUUUAAGAUGGCUGGCUCUCAUCAUCAUUAUUGUCCACCUGUAGCAUAGUGUCCAAGAGGACAGGAACUACCUCCUUAUUGUAACCCUAACCAUUAGCACAGUGCCUAGAACGUUAUAAAUACUUGAUACAGAUUUGAUAAACUGAAUUUAAAUUUGUAUUCACAAAUAUUUAGUAAGCAUCUAUUAUAGAAAGCACAGUGCUAAUAGGUGAUGGCAAAAAGAAGUACAAAGACAAGUUUCUACCUUCUUUAGGAGAGGACUCAGUGUAAUUAAUCUCGAAGAGCUUGUCAGUCCAAAUCACAGGGAUGAUUGUUGCAACCACAGAUGCCUUCUGAAUUGGGCUAGACAGUGUUAAUAAGUGCAAGCAGGCUACUAAUUUUAAGACAAUAGGGUAUCAUAGGGAUAGUAGAAAACUAGAGUGCAAUCCUUGCUUAAAAUUAUAGUUAUUCAACUUCAAAUAUUUUGUAAUCACUGAACUGACAAAAAUAGUUUUUUCAAAUUUCUAGCAGAUUACUGAACCAUGAAGAGGAAUGAAGUUCUGAUACAAGCAACAACGUGAAUAAACCUUGAAAACAUUAUGCUAAGUGAAAUAAACCAGACAGAAAAGAACAAAUAUUGUAUGAUUCCACUUAAAAUAUCUAGAAUAGGCAAAUUCAUAAAGACAAAAAGUAGAUUAGAGUUUACCAAGGGUUAGGGGGAGGAGGUUUUGCUUAAUGGUUACAGAGUUUUUGUUUGGGGUGAUGCAAAAGUUUUGGAAAUAGAUGAUGGUGAUGAUUGCACAACAUUGUAAAUGUAAUUAAUGCCACUUAAUCACUCACUUAAAAAUUGUUAAAAUGGCAAAUGUUACGGUAUGUAUAUUUUACUAAAUUUUUUUUUAAAUUCUGGCAGAUUCUAUGCAAUCUGACUGCCCAGUUGAUACUUUUGAUUCCUAGCACAAGGCUUUGUCCAAUAAUUGUUUGUCAAACACAGUCGACCCUCCCUAUCCCUAUGAGUUCCACAUAGGGGAUUCACCCAACCUCAGAUAAAAAAUAUUUGGGAAAUAAUAAAAACUAGCAUUACAACAAUAAAAAUAAUACAAAUAAAAAAUACAAUAUAGCAACUAUUUACAUAGCAUUUCCACUGUAUUAGGUAUUACAAGUAAUGUAGAGAUGAUUUAAAGUAUCCAGGAGGAGGUACAUAGGUAGUACACAAAUUUUUUUUUUUUUUUGAGACGGAGUCUCGCUCUGUAGCCCAGGCUGGAGUGCAGUGGCGCGAUCUCCGCUCACUGCAAGCUCCGCCUCCCGGGUUCACGCCAUUCUCCUGCCUCAGCCUCCCUAGUACCUGAGACUACAGGCGCUAGCCAUCAUGCCGGGCUAAUUUUUUUUAUUUUUAGUGAAGACGGGGUUUCACUGUGUUAGCCAGGAUGGUCUCGAUCUCCUGACCUCGUGAUCCCCCCGCCUCGGCCUCCCAAAGUGCUGGGAUUACAGGAGUGAGCCACUGUGCCCGGCUGGUAUUACAUAAAUCUUAAGUCAUUUUAUACAAAGGACUUGAGCAUCCUGAGGAUUUUGGUAUCCGUGGGCAUCCUGGAAUCAAUUUAUCAAGGAGCAACUGUAAAUAAAAAGUUUUCCCCACCCCCAUGACAUCACAGAGUUUAGUGGGAAUAACACAAUAUGUUGAUUCACACAGCUAUUGUCUGGCUAUUUACUAGCUAUGUAACCCUGGGUAAAUCACCUGAUCUCCCCAUACCUCAGCUUCCCUGUCACUAACAUGGGGAUAAUAAUCAGGCUUACUUCCCAGGAUUAUAGUCAAGAUUGUAUGAGAUAAUGCUUGUAAAUCUCUUUUCACUGUGGCGGGCUUAUUACUAUUAUUAGCCUGUUAUUAACAUUAGAAGACUAAUAAGAAUUAUUAUUAUUAUUAGGAAAACUAGAAAAUGAGUUGCAUUUUGCUCUUAACAUAAUGAUUUAUUUAUCUGACAAUGGUUUUCUUAGAAACUACAGACACAUCAGUCGGGCGUGGUGGCUCACGCCUGUAAUCUCAGCACUUUGGGAAGCCAAAGCAGGUGGAUCACCUGAGGUCAGGAGUUCGAGACUAGCCUGGCCAACAUGGUGAAACUCCGUCUCUGCUAAAAAAUACAAAAAUUAGCCAGGCGUGGUGGCGGGCCAGCUACUCGGGAGGCCGAGGCAGGAGAAUCACUUGAACCAGGGAGGCAGAGGUUGCAGUGAGCCAAGAUCUUGCCACUGCGCUCCAGCCUGGGUGACAGAGUGAAACUCCGUUUCAAAAAAAAAAAAAAAAAAAGAAACUACAGACACAUCAAGGUAGAGUUCACAAUGAUGUUUUUGAAUAACCAAAGACAUUACUGACCUACUGAAAAUCCUUUAAUGACUUCCUGUCAUUUUAAGAAGUCCCAAAUCCUAUAGCACAGGCCUGUCUUCACCUUUUCAACCUUGCAGUGAUCACUGUGGCCCCACCAUCAUCCAUUCUGCACUUCCUAGCAGCCCUGAUUUCUGUUUUGUAAUCUCUGUGAUUCCAGGGAAGCUGACUCUUCCCGAAGCUCCUGAGAUAGACCAUCUGGCCCAGGCCAGGCUAAGCAGGCCAUUCCUGCCUCCUCAACACGGUGCAUGGUUCAAGACAGGGCAUGUGACCUCCACUGCUCCAAUCAGGGUGAUUCUCAGGCCUCGUACUAGGAAUACCAUAACAAGUUUCUUUCUCUUCUGGAUGGUAUGGAAGGCAGUAGAUGAUCCUCAAUCAAUCACUUAAAGGCCUGAAUAGAACCAAAAGUCUGACCUGCCCAUGAGUAACAGAGAGCUCCUUCUGCCUGAUUGCUUCAGCUGAGAUAUCGGCCUUUCCCUGCCUUUGGAAUUGAACUGCAACACUGGCUCUUCUUGGGCCUCAAGACUGCCAGCUUUUGAACUGUAACCACACUAUCAUCUCUCCUGGUUCUCAGGCCUUUGGACUCAAAUCAGAAGCAUACCAGGGGCUCUCCUACAUCUCCAACUUGCUAACUGUGAUCUUGAGACUUCUUAGCCUCCAUAAUCACAUGAGUCAAUUGUUGGUUCUGCUUCUCUGGAGAACCCUAAUCCAUCACUCUACAUCUUUGUUCCAUUAUACAUAUUGCUUCCCAGCAUAUUAAAUAAUUUAUCGAUUAUAUUUUUGGUUUAUUAUUUAUUUCUCCUACUGGAAUGUAAGUUUCACAGAGCUCUUGUUCAUUGCUAGAUCUCAAGCCUGGCAUCUAGUAGGUAUUCAGCAAAUAGCUGUUGAAAGAUGAAAAAAUAAAUCUAAUCUGCCAAGUGGAGGUAGGUACUGCGAAGAAGAAUAAAACCAAAUAAAGGAACUUGAGGGGAACAACAGCACUUCUUUUUAUAGAAGGUAGUUAGGUCCUGGUGGGACAAUGGACAUUACUACUGGGAUAUAAUGUUUAUCUUCCAAACUAGGCUAUCUUUCUUAAUCCUGAGAUCCUUGCAGAUUCACAUGGAGUUAUAAGAAAUAAUACAGAGAAAUCUCAUGUAUCCUCUACCCAGUUUCCUUGAAUAGUACCA
rnacentral:lncRNA from 1 species